AUUGAACGCUGGCGGCAGGCCUAACACAUGCAAGUCGAACGAGUGGCGGACGGGUGAGUAAUGUCUGGGAACCUGCCCGAUGGAGGGGGAUAACUACUGGAAACGGUAGCUAAUACCGCAUACCAUCGGAUGUGCCCAGAUGGGAUUAGCUUGUCGGUGAGGUAACGGCUCACCUAGGCGACGAUCCCUAGCUGGUUUGAGAGGAUGACCAGCCACACUGGAAGUGAGCCACGGUCCAGACUCCUACGGGAGGCAGCAGUGGGGAAUAUUGGAACAUGGGCGAAAGUCUGAUGAAGCCAUGCCGCGUGUAUGAAGAAGGCUUUCGGGUUGUAAAGUACUUUCAGCGGAGAGGCGUUACCCGCAGAGAAAGCCCCGGCUAACUCCGUGCCAGCAGCCGCGGUAAUAC
rnacentral:rRNA from 1 species